rnacentral:rRNA from 1 species
CCUACGGGCGGCUGCAGUGGGGAAUAUUGGACAAUGGGGGGAACCCUGAUCCAGCCAUGCCGCGUGUGUGAAGAAGGCCCUCGGGUUGUAAAGCACUUUCAGUGAGGAAGAACGCCUGGUGGUUAAUACCCAUCAGGAAAGACAUCACUCACAGAAGAAGCACCGGCUAACUCCGUGCCAGCAGCCGCGGUAAUACGGAGGGUGCGAGCGUUAAUCGGAAUUACUGGGCGUAAAGCGCGCGUAGGUGGCUUGAUAAGCCGGUUGUGAAAGCCCCGGGCUCAACCUGGGAACGGCAUCCGGAACUGUCAAGCUAGAGUGCAGGAGAGGAAGGUAGAAUUCCCGGUGUAGCGGUGAAAUGCGUAGAGGUCGGGAGGAAUACCAGUGGCGAAGGCGGCCUUCUGGACUGACACUGACACUGAGGUGCGAAAGCGUGGGUAGCAAACAGGAUUAGAUACCCCGGUAGUC